UGGGGAAUAUUGGACAAUGGGCGAAAGCCUGAUCCAGCCAUGCCGCGUGAGUGACGAAGGUCUUCGGAUUGUAAAGCUCUUUUGGCGGGGACGAUAAUGACGGUACCCGCAGAAUAAGCCCCGGCUAACUUCGUGCCAGCAGCCGCGGUAAUACGAAGGGGGCUAGCGUUGUUCGGAAUUACUGGGCGUAAAGCGCACGUAGGCGGAUUGCUAAGUCAGGGGUGAAAUCCCGGGGCUCAACCUCGGAACUGCCUUUGAUACUGACAGUCUUGAGUCCGGAAGAGGUGAGUGGAAUUCCUAGUGUAGAGGUGAAAUUCGUAGAUAUUAGGAAGAACACCAGUGGCGAAGGCGGCUCACUGGUCCGGUACUGACGCUGAGGUGCGAAAGCGUGGGGAGCAAACAGG
rnacentral:rRNA from 1 species